GCGUCGGUAGUGUAACGGUUCAGCACGUGCUCCCGGAAAGAGUGAGAUCUGGGUUCGAAUCCCAGCUGACGCA